GCUGUUAUCUCAGACAGAAACAGAGACAGGGACAGUAGCUGUUAUCUCAGACAGAAACAGGGACAGUAGUUGUUAUCUCAGACAGAAACAGAGACAGUGACAAUAGCUGUUAUCUCAGACAGAAACAAUGACAGGGACAAUAGCUGUUAUCUCAGACAGAAAUAGAAACAGAGACAGGGACAGUAGCUGUUAUCUCAGACAGAAACAGAGACAGGGACAAUAGCUGUUAUCUCAGACAGAAACAAUGACAGGGACAAUAGUUGUUAUCUCAGACAGAAACAGAGACAGUGACAAUAGCUGUUAUCUCAGACAGAAACAAUGACAGGGACAAUAGCUGUUAUCUCAGACAGAAACAAUGACAGGGACAAUAGUUGUUAUCUCAGACAGAAACAGAGACAGGGACAGUAGCUGUUAUCUCAGACAGGGACAGAAACAGAGACAGUAGCUGUUAUCUCAGACAGAAACAGAGACAGGGACAGUAGCUGUUAUCUCAGACAGAAACAGGGACAGUAGUUGUUAUCUCAGACAGAAACAGAGACAGGGACAAUAGUUGUUAUCUCAGACAGGGACAGAAACAGAGACAGUAGCUGUUAUCUCAGACAGAAACAGAGACAGGGACAGUAGCUGUUAUCUCAGACAGAAACAGAGACAGGGACAGUAGCUGUUAUCUCAGACAGAAACAGGGACAGUAGCUGUUAUCUCAGACAGAAACAGUGACCGUGACAAUAGCUGUUAUCUCAGACAGAAACAGAGACAGGGACAAUAGCUGUUAUCUCAGACAGAAACAGGGACAGUAGCUGUUAUCUCAGACAGAAACAGAGACAGGGACAGUAGCUGUUAUCUCAGACAGAAACAGAGACAGUAGCUGUUAUCUCAGACAGAAACAGAGACAGGGACAGUAGCUGUUAUCUCAGACAGAAACAGAGGCAGUAGCUGUUAUCUCAGACAGAAACAGAGACACGGACAAUAGUUGUUAUCUCAGACAGGGACAGAAACAGAGACAGUAGCUGUUAUCUCAGACAGAAACAGUGACCGUAUCUCCCUACACACUGCAUCUAUACUGCAUGCAUCCGAAAGAGUACCCUGUUCCCUAUAUAGUGCAUUACUUUUGACCAGAGAGUUGUGCACUAGAUAGGGAAUAGGGUCCCAUUUGGAACAUAGACCAUCCAUACUCUGACAUGUUUAUUCAUGGGACCAAGCCCAACUUCAUAAUAGUCACAACCGUACCCUCCCUUGCUUCUCCCCCCCCCCCCCCCCCUCUCGCUCCCCUCUUUUUCCCUAAUGCAAAUAACUGAAAGCUUUAUUGGCAUAAGAGGUCAGAGCAGUUUGCCAAAGGAUUAGCUAAUUAUUGUUCUUGGUCUGACCCGGGUUGCUUGUCCUUGCCAUUUCCCCGGUUCCUCCAUCCCUCAGUGUCCAUCUUAUUGUUUGACAUCGCUCCUCCUGACAAUUUAAAGGGUUGUGGGGGGCGAUGCGUCAGUGUAUUGGAAAGGUGCCGAGCGGACCGUUGAAAUAUUGAGAUGAAAUGUUGUGUACUGUACUUUAAGAGUACUUCACUAUAUUGUAGUCUUCGUUGUUGAAGGUAAACGCUUAGUGCCGGUAGAGGACAAUUCUUCCUGUGUGUUUACUUCUCUGAAUCCUGUUCUCAACACAUUGUAGUUGUUACCUGGCCAUUGUUCAGGUACUGAUGCUCUGGUAGCAAAAUAUAGAUUGGAUCCUCUAGGUCAGGUUCCCAGGAUAUAUAUUAUGUCUAGGUUUAAUCUGGGUCAGGUUCCCGGAUAGAUAUUAUGUCUCGGUUUAAUCUGGGUCAGGUUCCCAGAUAGAUAUUAUGUUUAGGUUUAAUCUGGGUCAGAGGAACUGGCCCUCUGUGUCUUCAUUGACUAGUCAGUAGAUGUUAAGGUGUGCUCAGCCAGACGACCUCCCCUAAAGGUAGGUUUAAUCUGGGUCAAGUUCCUGGGUCAGGUUCAUUGACUAGUCAGUAGAUGAUAAGGUGUGCUCAGCCAGACAACCUCCCCUAAAACUAGGUUUAAUCUGGGUCAGGUUCCUUGACUAGUCAGUAGAUGAUAAGGUGUGCUCAGCCAGACUGCCUCCCCUAAAGCUAGGUUUAAUCUGGGUCAGAUUCCUUGACUAGUCAGUAGAUGAUAAAGCGUGCUCAGCCAGACGGCCUCCCCUAAAGCUAGGUUUAAUCUGGGUCAGGUUCCUUGACUAGUCAGUAGAUGAUAAAGUGUGCUCAGCCAGACGGCCUCCCCUAAAGCUGGUUUAAUCUGGGUCAGGUUCCUGGGUCACGUUCCUUGACUAGUCAGUAGAUGAUAAGGUGUGCUCAGCCAGACUGCCUCCCCUAAAGCUAGGUUUAAUCUGGGUCAGGUUCAUUGACUAGUCAGUAGAUGAUAAGGUGUGCUCAGCCAGACAACCUCCCCUAAAACUAGGUUUAAUCUGGGUCAGGUUCCUUGACUAGUCAGUAGAUGAUAAGGUGUGCUCAGCCAGACUGCCUCCCCUAAAGCUAGGUUUAAUCUGGGUCAGGUUCAUUGACUAGUCUGUAGAUGUUAAGGUGUGCUCAGCCAAACGACCUCCCCUAAAACUAGGUUUAAUCUGGGUCAGGUUCCUUGACUAGUCAGUAGAUGAUAAGGUGUGCUCAGCCAGACUGCCUCCCCUAAAGCUAGGUUUAAUCUGGGUCAGGUUCCUGGGUCAGGUUCCUUGACUAGUCAGUAGAUGAUAAGGUGUGCUCAGCCAGACCUCCUCCCCUAAAGCUAGGUUUAAUCUGGGUCAGGUUCCUGGGUCAGGUUCCUUGACUAGUCAGUAGAUGUUAAGGUGUGCUCAGCCAGACUGCCUCCCCUAAAGCUUGGUUUAAUCUGGGUCAGGUUCCUUGACUAGUCAGUAGAUGAUAAGGUGUGCUCAGCCAGACGGCCUCCCCUAAAGCUAGGUUUAAUCUGGGUCAGGUUCCUUGACUAGUCAGUAGAUGAUUAGGUGUGCUCAGCCAGACGGCCUCCCCUAAUGCUAGGUUUAAUCUGGGUCAGGUUCCUUGACUAGUCAGUAGAUGAUAAGGUGUGCUCAGCCAGACGACCUCCCCUAAAACUAGGUUUAAUCUGAGUCAGGUUCCUUGACUAGUCAGUAGAUGUUAAGGUGUGCUCAGCCAGACGACCUCCCCUAAAACUAGGUUUAAUCUGAGUCAGGUUCCUUGACUAGUGAGUAGAUGUUAAAAUGUGCUCAGCCAAACAACCUCCCCUAAAGCUAGGUUUAAUCUGGGUCAGGUUCCUUGACUAGUCAGUAGAUGUUAAGGUGUGUUCAGCCAGACUGCCUCCCCUAAAGCUAGGUUUAACCUGGGUCAGGUUCCUGAGUCAGGUUCCUUGACUAGUCAGUAGAUGAUAAGGUGUGCUCAGCCAGACGGCCUCCCCUAAAGCUAGGUUUAAUCUGGGUCAGGUUCCUUGACUAGUCAGUAGAUGAUAAAGUGUGCUCAGCCAGACUGCCUCCCCUAAUGCUAUGUUUAAUCUGGGUCAGGUUCCUGGGUCAGGUUCCUUGACUAGUCAGUAGAUGAUAAGGUGUGCUCAGCCAGACUGCCUCCCCUAAAGCUAGGUUUAAUCUGGGUCAGGUUCCUUGACUAGUCAGUAGAUGAUAAGGUGUGCUCAGCCAGACUGCCUCCCCUAAAGCUAGGUUUAAUCUUGGUCAGGUUCCUUGACUAGUCAGUAGAUGAUAAAGUGUGCUCAGCCAGACGACCUCCCCUAAAGCUCACCCCUUCAGUUGUUUUAUUAGGCAUCUGGUGUAAAACCCCUCAUGGUGUGACUACUCCCUAUCAGAUACGCAGUGAAAGCAUUAUUCUGAAUGCUAUCUAACUGAAUAUAAAACAAAAAAACAAUAACAAAGUAAUAAUAUUUUUUGGGGGUUUCCAUUUUGACUGUUGGUCUGUGUUUGUGUACAGUACGUGUGUGUUUUGGUGUUCCUGUGUUUAAGGGUUUUGUUUCUCUCUGUUCUUUUUGAGAAGAAAAAAAAAGAGAAAAAAAAAGUUUGUUUCUGUAAAUAUUGUUGUUGAAAAAUGAUGAGCUAUUUGUUUGCUGUACGCUGCAAUACGUUUCAACCUUUUCGUCACCUGAACAGGCGGAGGAAUCGUCAAUAAUAUUCCAGAUGACGCUGGUUAUAACUGCCCUUUCUUGAACAAGGGCUCUUGAUGUCUGCUGUUAUUUGUUGUUGGAGGUGACAGUCGGGAGGGGAGGUUGGAGGAGCGAGAGACAGAGAUACCCAACACACUUCCCAGACCAGAACAAUCUCUUCAAUAAUAUGUCACUGCGUAACAAACAAACAAAACAGAAAUCUUCACAAUUACAAAGAUGAACAAAUAUCGGUUGCUUUUACGCUCAUAUAAGUACCUUAUUAUUUGGAGAUUGUCAUCUGUCACAACAGACUAGUCCCACAGUAAUAUCACCACCCAAAACAACAACAGCCUACAGUCACUGAAACAUUUUGUUGAACCUUUAUUUAACUAGGCAAGCCAGUUAAAAACAAAUUCUUAUUUUCAAUGACGGCCUACCGGGGGAACAGUGGGUUAACUGCCUUGUUCAGGGGAACAGUGGGUUAACUGCCUUGUUCAGGGGAACAGUGGAUUAACUGCCUUGUUCAGGGGAACAGUGGGUUAACUGCCUUGUUCAGGGGAACAGUGGGUUAACUGCCUUGUUCAGGGGAACAGUGGGUUAACUGCCUUGUUCAGGGGAACAGUGGGUUAACUGCCUUGUUCAGGGGAACAGUGGGUUAACUGCCUUGUUCAGGGGAACAGUGGGUUAACUGCCUACUCUAGGAACAGUGCGUUAACUGCCUACUCUAGGAACAGUGGGUUAACUGCCUUGUUCAGGGGGCAGAACGACAGAUUUUUACCUUGUCACCCCAGAUGACACUGGGCCAAUGGUGCGCCGCCCUAACCCUAACCCAAUCACAGCUGGAUGUGAUACAGACUGGAUUCAAACCAGGGACUAUAGUGACACCUUUUGCACUGAGAUGCAGUGCCUUAGACCGCUGCGCCACUCGGGAGCCCAAAUGCUUCUCAACCUCAGCCUAUAAUUAAACUUAGUAUCGUGUGUUAGAUUAGAUAUAGAUGGGACAAAAGCAUCUCAGAUCACAGCAAUUUGACUAGAACGCUCAUGGUUGCCAGUCCACCCAUCACCUACACUUGAGUGGGGAAAACCUUUUCUAAAAAUUGUAUUUCUAUUGGGCUAUAUGCUCCUCCUCGUCGCAUCGCCGUGGAAUUCUUUGGUAGAUGGCUGUUCCCCCCGCAUCGCUUCCCUCCCUCUGCCGUAGUGCAUUCAGAGAGGGCUAUAUGUUCCUCAAUGCCGGUCCCCUCCCUCUGCAGUGGUAGCUUGGCAUUCCCUCUCACCCCUAUCAGCUCCUACAGAAAGGAGCCUGGCUAACUGGCUGUAUGGGGUUUUACUGUAAUACUGGCUAACUGGCUGUAUGGGGUUUUACUGUAAUACAGAAAGGAGCCUGGCUAAUUGGCUGUAUGGGGUUUUACUGUAAUACAGAAAGGAGCCUGGCUAACUGGGUGUAUGGGGGGUUUACUGUAAAACCAUGGUGUUAUAGAGUAUUAACUGUAGAAUAUGAUGUCACGCUGUCUGUUUAAAUCAACACUCAACCCUAUUCAUAGGUUGCACCUCCGUCACUCGGUCGCGUCGUGCCGUUGUUAUGAACGUUCUCAAGCCGCCCUCUACCGGCGGCGCGAUAGUGGUGCCCCGAAAAUGGUGCCCCAGUCAUUCUGGACGGAGGCUGACGAAUGUUUAGUUCUAAAUUACACUAUAGUGCCUGGAAAUACGAUGACAUUGCUAAAGUACUCAAAUGUUUUGUAAGAAAACAACCUUUGCCAGUAUUAUAAUGUUGUCAAUUUUACUUUUAAACUGAUGGGAAUGUUGCCAUUAUAUAUAAAAUAAAAAUAGCUUCGACUCCUGAAUGACAUUGUAUUUCCAAGACACUGUAAUGCACAUUUGUUUAAAUCUUCAUCGGCGAUAAAUGACAAUGCGUUAAGUAAAAUGCUCAGUUGGGUAUCAGUCCAAAACGACCUACCAAACAAUAGCGACAAAACAUUAACUUUAGACGUGUUAAGUCAUCAGCAUGUUUCAGUUCAGGUGGCGGCUAGGCAAAACCGACCGAUGUGCUUCUAUACUCCCUUAUAAUACCUUCGCUUGAAAAAACGAGAAAAGUAAGUGCCACGGUUUGUCCCUUUUGAGAAGCCGUAGCCAGUACACACUUCCUCAAAAAUUGUGAGACCCGAAUAAAAAAAAAUAAAAAAAAUCUUUCAUUUAUUUUGACGGUUUUUUGCAGAGGUCUUAGUCGCGUAAUUUUACAUCUAACUAAGAUAUUUGGUGAAGUAUUUCUCAAUGAAAACAUGUGGAUGAAAACGCUUCGUCUCGUCUCGAACGACAACAAAGACUUUAUUGAAGAAUCCCAACAGUCGACCAAUCACGUAGGAAGGGUUGAGUACUUUGGGUGUGUGUCUGAACAGCCCAAAACCUCCUUUCCGACCAAAAUCCAAAACCGUCACAAAAUGUCAUCAUUAUAUAUGCACGAACUCUUCCCCAACUGUUUCGGCUGGGAAGUAUACAGACGCCUUUAGUUCCAGGCACGUUUGUCGAAACAGAAAAAAAAUGAUUUUACCCCUGAACAAUGUUGAAACAUAUAUUGGGGGACUAGGUUGCAAAAUUCUGGUAACUUUAGAUUCUAGAUCCUGGUUGGGUGGAUUCUAGAUUCCUUCCUGAUUCUGGAAAUCUUCCAACAGGGAUUUCUGGGGAUUUUGUGAAAGUUCUGGACAUGUUGCUACCCUACACAAGACCAUAUUGGGUUACUUCUCCAAAACAAACACGAGUUUAUCUGCAACAGGACAUUUACACCAAUAGCAGAAUAACAACCCCAGAGCUUUUGUUAUUGUUAGACCGAUGUGAUGACCUUCCGAGUGCCUGUUUCCCGGCACCAGACUGGAGGUGCCAAACACCAGGUCCAACCAAAUCCCAGUGACCUCCCAGUGUCCCCUAGCUUCCCAGUCCUAUUUUGAGACUCAAACCUGGGCUCUAAAAAAAAAAAAUGACGUGCUGUUUUGGUGCGGUACGCUCAGAGAAGUACACUCUGUUUCAGAGCCAGCCAUCAGACCUGCAGGUGUCUGCAAAAAAACACUCCCCUCCCUAGUUCUCCAUAUGCUCUGUUCCUGAGUAGCUGGCAGCUCUGUGUGUGUGUGUGUGUGUGUGUGUGUGUGUGUGUGUGUGUGUGUGUGUGUGUGUGUGUGUGUGUGUGUGUGUGUGUUCAGGAGAGAGCUUAUCAUUGUCAGAUGGCUUUCAGUGUUGACUAGGACACAGACAUGAUCCUCACAGCUGAUAUACUGGCAAGGACACACACACAAAUAUACACACACAGCUGAUACACUGGCAAGGACACACACACACACAAAUACACACACACACACAUAUACACACACACACACACACACACAUAUACACACAUACACACACACACAUAUACACACACACACACACACACACAAAUACACACACACACACACACACACAAAUAUACACACACGCUGGCCAUUUACAAUCUGUCUAGCAAGGUCAACAAAAUAAAUAUACCACUGAUCUUAACCGGCUGAAAAAUUCAAAUGUAGAGCGUCCCCCCCCCGUCCCCCCUAUACCUACAUGCACACCUCUGUGGAUAAAUAGUUUAUUAUCAUUCUCUGCCUUCAUGUUGUGAAGUUCAUUUACAUUUAGACCUCAAGGUCAAAUUUCUUCCUGGGUGUGAACGGUAUCCUAAGCCCUCUCCCUCUUCUCUCCAUCUCUUCUCCCAGACCCCACCUCAUCAACAGCUCUAACUUUCAACACACAAAUUGUGAAUCUGAUUUAAUGUACUUGUGUCUUUUUUUGUUGCGUUUUUUUUGUGCCAACUUUGUGUAUAAACAUCUCUGAAUAUAUGAAAAACUACAGUAUAGAUGCUUCCUGGAACAUGCAGGGUAAUAGGGUAUACUUGGUCGACUCGAGGACAAAACGUAGAGCCGCUAUAAAGCUAGUUAUCGAGAACAUCCUGCUGUAGAAACCUGGUGUGUCACCACGGACCCUUUUUAUAUUCUAGGUUUCGUUUUUUUGUGUUGAUGUUUUUUUUUAAAUACACCCGGUGGCAUCCAAGG